CUUAUUCCAUCCAUGAAGUUUUCCUACUGCUGUUCUUAGAAUUUGAAAUGCUCUCUGAAGAAUCGUGUGCCUCUUUUGAUUGUUAAAAUUCAAUCACCCCCCAAAAUACCCUAAUUUUCAGUUGGCUUGAUGUGCUGUAAGUAGAAGCUGAUCAGCAAUCACGCAUACUAAAUUUGAGCUUUGCGUAUGAGUCAACAAUAGACUGUGCUAUGUUUUAGCUGGGAAUUACCUUCUUAUCAUGCCUCCAAGGUUGUAAUGCAUGUUUAUUGGAAUUUGUGUAUUGAAAAUGAUGUUGAUUGCAUAUGUUUAGAUUGGGUUAAUCAGGUAGGUGGCGAGGUAUGUCCCAUAUCUACAGGGAUGCAUAUGGACUAAAGGCCUAUAUAUAAAUUUUAUAUGCACACAUAUAGUUUUGGUAAGCAUCACAAAACCUCACAUCUAUCUGUAUAGCAAGUGAGCAAAAUAGGUCUUCCAUUUUCAUGUCAGCCAGCUCCAGUUUUAAUACGAUGGAUGCAUGUUGAAGCUCUAGAAUUUCUAUUAUUUGUAAUAAUUCCAUACAUUAUCGGCGCCAUUAUUGCUGAUUCAUUUGCUAUAGUUUAAUAUCUACUACAUUUGAGAGAGUGCUUCUUGAGGUUUAUUCAUUAUUGCUAAUAUCUAUAAUGAAUAAUUUGUAUUUCUUUCUUCCUUCAAAUGUCAAAAUCUUAGCAAUUACAACGAGAAAUUGUUCUUUCAUUCACUUACCAAGCAACUGCUACUUAAUGUUCUAACAAAAAACAUGAAGGUAUAUAUACGCCCUCUUAUUAUAUUUCUCUUACUCAUAAUUUGUCGAAUGUGGUGCUUUAAAUCUUUCUGUUGAUCCCAAAUCUUGUCACGGUUCCUUGUUAUGAGACCUACUUGAUUGUUCCAAAUGUUUUGGAGGACACCAAUGUUCGUAGAAACCAAACCUUUCAUUGAAAUUCAUAUACACACCAUCUUAAUUAACCUCAGAAUGCCAACUCCUGAAAGAAAUAAAAUUUCGUGUAACUUGGGUUAGAGUUGAAAACUAAUGCUUAGCGAUCUAGUAGUUUUCUACUAAACUCAGAGGAAUAACUUAAUUGAUCUGAGAUACUUGGGUUAAGAAGUAGACCAGCCAAUCCACAGUUACAAGUGCUUCUUUUCAUGUCCCCAAAGUGUAUGAGACAUAUUGGAUUUGAGAGAGAGGCAGUGGCUUUGCUUGAGACUCCUUUGACUUCAAGGUUUGUAGGUAAGCUAACAUUGGGCUUUAUCAGUUUGUUAUAUUAAUUGCCUUGUGUUUGUUCACCAACCAUGAGAAUGGGUGAUGGAUAUUUUGUGCUGUCUGCCUGCUUUUGACCAGGUUCUGUUUUUACCUAACUGAAAUCUACAUAUUAUAUAUAUAUAUAUAUAUAGUCAUCUACCUGAUGUGAAGCACAAGUGCAACACCUAUACUUAGCCACCUGCCUUCAUUGUGAUACUGACACUACACCAUCCAGAAGGAGAAAAAAAAUUAUCUGAGGUGGAGCAACAAUCCUUUUUUACAUCUUUUUUCUUGGAGUUUUUAGGCUUCAGAACAGAGUUAGGAUACAUUUGACUUCUGCUAACUCCUGUUGCCUUUGUCAUUGCCUGAUCACCGGUCCAAGCUCUUAAUAUUUGCAUGUUCUACAUACGGAAGAGACCAGCGACCAUAGGAUGAUGUAACUUCCAUGUGUUUGAAGAGGAAUAUGAAUUUGUUCAACUCUUCUGAGUUCAUGAGACACGUUGUUUCCUUUUGAUUGUCAUCCAUUUUGUUUGUUUUUACUGGAAAAUUUGUACUAAACCCAUGUAAUCCACCUCUGAAUAUUCUUUACCAACUCCAUAAACUCAUGUUUUCUUGUUCGCUUACCUUUAACAGGUUUGACCGUCAUCAAGCUGAGCUAUCUACAUCAGAAGGAAAAUUCAAAUGGAUGAUUUAUCAUGUGCUUGCUGCCGAAAUUGCAUGUUUAUUGAUGAUGCUAGUUCUUCUAUUCCCCCUGCAAUUAUAAUUCGAUUGCACAAUUUCUUGCACUGCAGGUACAUCUCUUUGCACUGUUGCAAAUCAAUGGCAACAACAUGGAACUUGACAGAGUCAGUAAAGCACCUCUGCAGAAAGCGAUAUGAACCACAUCUCAUGGAUGACAAGGUGCCUGCUGAAAUCAUUCAAUCCUGCAACUCACCUUCUUCCCGAAUCACUAUACCUACUGCUGCCCUUGUGGAUGCUGUGAUUCCAGUCCACCAUUUAUCGUAUCUAAUUUUCUAUUAGUUUUGCCAAAAAGAAACCCAAAUAGUUGCUUCACAGAAUUCUCCAUGAACAUUGUUUA